rnacentral:lncRNA from 1 species
AGAUUAGGACCAUCCAUACCCUUGUUCUUAAAGCAUAGUAAAGCAUGAUUCAAAUUGAAUUCCUUUUGAUUAUGUAUGGCAGAAAAUAAGUGUGGGGGGAUUUGUUUCUCAUGUAAGUAGUGUGCCAUAGGCACGGGUGGAAAGAAAGAAAAAAAAGAAACGGGUGAAAAGUAAAAAAAAAAAAAAAAAAAGAGUUGAAAAGAUGUGAAAAAGAGUCCUAAAGUAUUGUUUGUUGAAGAAGGGGUCCAAAACUUUGAAUUCGGCCCUAAUUAUUGCUUGAAUCUUCCCGUCGUGUUUAAAAGUUGAUUUCUACAAUCUAAGUGAAUUCUAAGUUUCAAGUUCAUUACUUUGCUUGCUAUUGCUUUAAGAACGUUUGUUAUCCCUAUCCUUCAUUUGUUAGCCAACACCCCAAGCCCGUUACAACCUUUGACUUCAAUCUUGAGUGUUAUGUGUUUCAAUUUGUGGAGUUUGAAUUUGGUAUGAGCAUAUGGUGUCACUGGUUCUCGCAUCUAAGUAGUAGCAUUCCAUUCAUGAGAUCAUAUCUAAACAUGCUUAUUAACUCCAGAAAUUGCUUUCUUUGUGAUACAUAUAUGUGAGCAUUCGUUUUCAUGUUUACAUCAAUCUUCUCACAUAUAACUAGUAUAGGGUGUGUAGUUAGAAAAUCUGAGUGAAAAUUGAGUGAAUAUCUCGUAAGGACUUGAGCAAAUUCUCUAAGGCAUGUUACUACAUUCAAAAUCAUAUUUUAAUUGGUUAAAUGUGAACUAGUACGUGGUGACUAUGAUUAAGUAUGUGCUUAAGUGUGAAGAUGAUUCAAAUCUGUGGGGAUAAUGAUUUUUAACAUGUCAUAUGCGUUGGAAAUCCCUAAGGCAAACGUUGGAAGGUUUAGGUUGUGUUUUGUUUUCUUUAUCUGACUUUGGAAGCAUGUUACAAACAGUUCAGAAUGAAUGAGAGAAUGAGCCUUAUAUGCAUGGAAAGAUACGGAUGUCUAUUUUCUGGAGCAAUUUACGGAUUGUUAAUCUCAUUUUUCUAGAAGAAGUUAUGGGCAUUGUAACACUGAAAGGUUAGAAAAGGGCUAAGCAGAUUUGGCUAAUAAAAAGAGAAAGGCAACACAUGGGCAAAGGAAACACACACACAUGGGCAGAAAAUGGGUGGAUUGGUGGUUGAAAUGAUGAAGCAUGUGUGUGUAAAGGCAAAGGAAACACACACACAUGGGCAAAGGAAACACACACGCAUGGGUAGGAAUUGUGUGUGUUUUGUGGUUGAAAUGAUGCAAAGAACAUGUGUGUGUGCAAGUGUAACAGCUAGGAUGAUAACAUGGCAGCAAACACAUGGCAAAGAAAAGAACAUGGCAGCAAACACAUGGAGCACACACAUGGGCAGAAAAUGUGGGUGUUUGGUGGUUGAAAUGAUGAAGCAUGUGUGUGUAAAUGUAAAGGAAAACAUGGCAGAAAA